rnacentral:rRNA from 1 species
ACAAGGUUUCCGUAGGUGAACCUGCGGAAGGAUCAUUGUAGAAUGAUGUAGGAAAAUGACAUGUGAACUUGUAUUCCCUUACCUGGUAUUAGGGCCCGGAAGAUUCUGUGCCUCCUUCUGCCUGGCUGAUUGACAUCUGGGUUAGCCAUCGGUGCUCUUUCUUGUCAAGACGCCACCAAAACAAACCCCGGCACGGAACGUGUCAAGGAAAACAAUAUAUAAAAAGAGUUGGCCUGUAAUGAUCCGUUUUUGGUUUGCGUUCGGGCCUUAUAUCUUUAAAAUUCAUAAACGACUAUCGGCAACGGAUAUCUCGGCUCACGCAUCGAUGAAGAACGUAGCAAAAUGCCAUACUUGGUGUGAAUUGCAGAAUCCCCUGAACCAUCGAGUUUUUGAACACAAAUUGCCCCUAAACCCAUUUCCUUGACCCCACGUCUGCCUGGGCGUCUCGCAUCAUGUCGAUCCCCUCAACGCCAAAUGAUAAACAUGUUGCUGGGAAGCGGAGAUUGGUCUCCCAUGCCCCAUGGUAUGGUUGGCUAAAAAGAAGGUUUUUUUACGACUGAAGCAUGACUGUUUGUGGUUGACAAAACGUAUGGUAGGAGUUGAGUAGUCAAUGUGGAGGAAAAAAAUAAAUGAAAGACCCUAAAGCAUUAUCGUAUGUUAAUGUUUCGAAUGCGACCCCAGGUCAGGCGGGACUACCCGCUGAGUUUAAGCA